rnacentral:rRNA from 1 species
AAAUGGCCGCAGUAUUUUAACUGUGCAAAGGUAGCAUAAUCAUUAGUCUUUUAAUUGAAGGCUUGUAUGAAUGGUUGGACGAAAUAUUGACUGUUUCAUAAAAAUUUAUUUAGAAUUUUAUUUUUUAGUUAAAAAGCUAAAAUAUAUUUAAAAGACGAGAAGACCCUAUAGAUCUUUAUAUUUUGCAGUUUACAAUUAUUUAGAUUAUUUAAGUUGUUAAUAUGUAAUUUAUUUUGUUGGGGUGACAUUAAAAUUUGAUUAACUUUUAAUUAAUAAUUACAUUAAUUUAUGAAUAUUUGAUCCAUUAGUAAUGAUUAUAAAAUUAAGUUACCUUAGGGAUAACAGCGUAAUUUUUUUGAAGAGUUCAUAUCGAUAAAAAAGAUUGCGACCUCGAUGUUGGAUUAAGAUAUAAUUUUGGGUGCAGCAAUUCAAUAUUUAAGUC